rnacentral:lncRNA from 1 species
AAUAAAAGAAUUUGAUUUGAUUUGGGAAGUCGGUGGCCUAAGCCAAGUCUUCGGCUUUUGCACAGAAAGAGGGGUGGAAUUGCAGCGCCCAAGAGGAAUUGAAGCGCAGCAGCAGCGACGGCUUGGAGAAAGAGCCAUCCGCUCGGAUUGAUUUCCCCUUACGGUUUUAUCUAUUCUUUUAUCCCCAAUUUAAUUAUGUGUAACUAAAUUUUUUAUAUUAGAAUUAUGGAUAAAGACC